rnacentral:lncRNA from 10 species
CUACACUGUGUUCACACUAAGCAGAUUUUGCUCUUUUUGUUUCUUGUUUUUUUUGAGAUGGAGUCUCGCUCUGUCAUUCAGGCUGGAGUACAAUGGCACAAUCACUGCAAUCUCCGCUUCCCAGGAGAAUUGCUUGAACUGGGGAGGCAGAGGUUGCAGUGAGCCAAGAUCGCACCACUGCACUCCAGCCUGGGUGACAGAGCAAGACCCUGUCUUAGAAUAAAUACAUAAUAAAUAGUAUGUAUUCUGGCACUUUCGAUACAAGGAAUUCAUGGCUUGGUUGUAUGGUCCCAAGAACAUAUCAAUCCUGUGUUAAUAUAAGAAUAUUAUCUUGUCCUCUAGAUAAGCUACCUUACCUUCCAGGCUCACAAACCACAAGUAUGUAGCCAUACUGAGGCAUGGAACAGAAAACUGUAUUUGUUUUGAAUGAGAACACAUUUGCCUUUAUCAGACCACAGCUGCCUUCCAGGGUAAAGUCAGGCACUGACUGUUAGCAUGGCCCUGAAAGGCAAGGGAACCUUCACAUACCUGACAUUUGGUUUUAGCUGUGGCCCGAAGCAGUAGUUCUCAACUGGGGGUGGUUUUGUACCCUCUCUCCCCA